rnacentral:rRNA from 1 species
UACGAAGGGGGCUAGCGUUGCUCGGAAUCACUGGGCGUAAAGCGCACGUAGGCGGAUUGCUAAGUCAGGGGUGAAAUCCUGGAGCUCAACUCCAGAACUGCCUUUGAUACUGCCGUGCUUGAGGACUGGAGAGGAGACUGGAAUUUACGGUGUAGCGGUGAAAUGCGUAGAUAUCGUAAGGAAGACCAGUGGCGAAGGCGGGUCUCUGGACAGUUCCUGACGCUGAGCACGAAGGCCAGGGGAGCAAACGGG